GGAUUGACAUCCUGCGAACUUCUGUGAAAGCAGUUGGUGCCUUCGGGAACGCAGAGACAGGUGGUGCAUGGCUGUCGUCAGCUCGUGUCGUGAGAUGUUGGGUUAAGUCCCGCAACGAGCGCAACCCUCGUCCUUAGUUGCCAUCAUUAAGUUGGGCACUUUAAGGAGACUGCCGGUGACAAACCGGAGGAAGGUGGGGAUGACGUCAAGUCAUCAUGCCCCUUACAUCCUGGGCUACACACGUACUACAAUGCAACGGACAAAGAGCAGCCAACUAGCGAUAGUGCGCAAAUCUCAUAAACCGUUGCUCAGUUCAGAUUGCAGGCUGCAACUCGCCUGCAUGAAGGCGGAAUCGCUAGUAAUCGCAGGUCAGCAUACUGCGGUGAAUACGUUCCCGG
rnacentral:rRNA from 1 species